GUGCUCACAUAUAUUGGCACAUAUAUACUAAAUUGGCAGCACAUAUACUAAAAUUGGAAGGAUACAAAGAAGAUUAGCAUGUCCCUGCCCAAGGAUGACAUGCAAAUUCAUAAUCAUUCCAUACAUUU
rnacentral:snRNA from 1 species